GGGCCAUUGCGACGCGGCAGAGUAGACGGCCGUCAGUCGUCGGGCAGGAGAGCCGUGGAUCAGAAUCGGCGUUCCCAUCUGAUCCAUGGAUCGGAAAGUUUGCUUUUCCGUCUAAUGGCUGCAGACCGGAAUUGAAUGCAGGACCGAGAGUCCUCUCGUCUAGGGCGUGGGUCAUUUGGAAGCUGAGGAAUGCGGGGAUAGAGGGAAGGAGCGCCGGCGGCGAGACACCAUGGAGUUUCUGAUGCAGCCCAUCGGCAGAUCCACUCUGCUUGACGAGGUAGGCAUAGUUUGGUGCCGGCUCCUGCGGCUCUGGGGUGGGGGAUUUUGAGGUGGCACAGCCGGUGGAGCGCGAGGCGGCGCAGCAUCGGAAGGUGGACAGUGCCAUAGUGGCGAGGCACAAGUCUUCUUGGGGAAGGAGACGACGGCGGACAGAAGAGAGAGCUCGCUGCUGACAUGCGAGCUGUCAACGAGGAAAAUGAACCUCCAAGCCCCUGGGUGGAAAAAGAGGCUGAGGAUUGGUGUUGCUGCACCGAGCAAAACACCCUGCCCAAAUCGUAUAAAUGCGUUCGAGAAGGCAGUCAGGUGUUUUGCAAAGAACCCAGCUGAAAAUGUGAUCACACCGGUUCUUGGUACUACUUUCGACUCUUUGGGCAAGGCGUAUGGAUUUCACAACUUUUUUUUUGCGAAUAGUAUGAAGUUUACAACUUGAACUCAUGGGAGAAGGGUUUUGGUAGGAAGAUGACAGGAAGCUCAGGGAGCAAGAGAAGGAUGUCGAGGUUGCGAGGAAGUGUCAGGAGGACACAGAGAGGAACACAAUGAAACAUUUUGUUGAAAUUUGUUGAUUAUUGGGCAUGUGGAAGAUGAUAGUUGUAUGUGUUGGUGCAGCCACAGAUGAGGAGAUCGCACACGCAUCUCGAGAUGUUACUGCUAGUGGGCCUGUAUAUAAUGUUGCUCAGGAAUCAACCCGGAAGGUGGUGGCAUGCCAGGUGGUUAGACAAGUUUGGAUGAUGGUGGCAUAUUGAUCGGAGCUGGCAAUUAAACUGCGGUGAUAAGUCCAAAAAACAAAAUCAAGAAAGAGAAUGAAAAUAUGAUUAUCGGGGAGUAUGACAUACCUAGUGACCCAAUGUGUGGUUCGCAGGGCGGAAUCGCAAUACUAGACGUGCCAGUGGUGGUGGGAGCAGCACUGUGAAGCAGUCUCGAUGCCGGAAGGGCAAUAAGAGAGCAAAAAGAAGAAGGAAUACGAGGUGGAGUUAGUUCGGUUCUCUAAUAUUGUUGAGAUGAUAUGCACAUGUCUCAGAGAGCUCAGAAAACAAUGGCACAAGCAGUGACGAUAGCAACAACGCUAGUGGUGAAGACGUGGGUUAUACUGGCCGCGCAAGUAAGGAAACAAAUAUUUGUGGAAGUACUUUAUUUUUGUUUGUUCAUGGAACCGUAUGUGCUAAACCUUGCAUCAUCAGGAUGUAAAACAGAGCCAACAGCCAAGGGUGCAACCAGAUGAAUUCGAAUAAUGAUCUCUCCUGAAAGUGUAGUCUGUAUUGUUUCGUGUGCUUUCUAGAACUGGUCGGUGCAAUCAUCAUGUUGUAGCUGCUGUGGGCAAAGAUUAUUGUGAUUUAGAUACACAGUCUGUGCAUGAGUAAUGUCUUUCCUGUGAAACAAAUUUAAUUAAGUGUCAAGUGUUGAGUCCC
rnacentral:rRNA from 1 species